AUAUCUGAAUACAUAGGAUAUGAGAAGGCAGACCCGGGGAACUGAAACAUCUAAGUACCCGGAGGAAGAGAAAGCAAAUGCGAUUCCCUGAGUAGCGGCGAGCGCAACGGGACCAGCCCAAACCAAGAGGCUUGCCUCUUGGGGUUGUAGGACACUCUGUACGGAGUUACAAAGGAACGAGGUAGAUGAAGAGGUCUGGAAAGGCCCGCCAUAGAAGGUAACAGCCCUGUAGUCAAAACUUCGUUCUCUCCUGAGUGGAUCCUGAGUACGGCGGAACACGUGAAAUUCCGUCGGAAUCCGGGAGGACCAUCUCCCAAGGCUAAAUACUCCCUAGUGACCGAUAGUGAACCAGUACCGUGAGGGAAAGGUGAAAAGCACCCCGGAAGGGGAGUGAAAGAGAUCCUGAAACCGUGUGCCUACAAGUAGUCAGAGCCCGUUAACGGGUGAUGGCGUGCCUUUUGUAGAAUGAACCGGCGAGUUACGAUCCCGUGCAAGGUUAAGCAGAAGAUGCGGAGCCGCAGCGAAAGCGAGUCUGAAUAGGGCGAAUUGAGUA
rnacentral:rRNA from 1 species